UUUAAGUGAUUUUAUUAUUGAGGAUUUUAUAUCAGAAAGAGUUUAGUGUUGAUGUAUUUUAGAGAUUUAAUUUAAUAAAUUAUAUUUGAUUUGUACUGUUAAGGAUAGAUUGAAGGUAAUUUAUAUUAUAAGUUUAUUUAAUUUAUUGUACCUUGUGUAUCAGGGUUUAUUAAAAUGGGAAGAUGUAAAUUUUUGUUCUCGAUAUUUGAGGAGUUAAUUAAUUAAUAUAUUUAUUGUUGUAGAAUUAUUAUUAAUAUUUAAUUGGUAGUGAAAUGUUAUUCGAUUUGGAAGGUAUCUAGUUUUUUUGGAAAUAAAUUUAAUUUAUAUUUUGUUUAUAGUUAAUUAAUUUAUUAAUUAAUUUAAAACAAAGUAAAUAUUUAAGGGGAUUAGCUCUUAUGUAGAUUGAUAUAAUUUGAAUUAUUUAAUAAGAGUGUGGAUUUAAUGUUGAUUAUCAUUUUGAGGAUGUGAAAAUUUUUAUUUUGUAUUUUGUUGAUUUUUUUUUAUUUAUUUUUUUUACUUGAAUAAAUAGUGUAAUUUUGUGUUUAUUGGGAUUAUGAUGUAAUUAGUAAAUUGUUAAAUUAUAUUGUGAUGAUUUUGUUAAUUUUAUUUAAGGAAUUUUGCAAAUUUAUAUUCGCCUGUUUAUCAAAAACAUCUUUUUUUGGAUUGAUUUUAAAGUAUAACCUGCCCACUGAUUGAAUGUUGAAGGGCCGCGGUAAUUUGACCGUGCAAAGGUAGCAUAAUCAUUAGUUUUUUAAUUGAAUGCUGGAAUGAAUGGUUGGACGAGAUAUAAACUGUCUUGAGUUAAUUGUUAGUUGAAUUUAAAUAUUAGGUAAGAAUGCUUAAAUUUUUUUGUGGGACGAGAAGACCCUAUAGAAUUUUAUAUAAUAAUUGUGUUUGAUAUUGGUUAGUUUAGGUAUAUAUUAUUGUAUUUGGUUGGGGUGAUUUCAAAAUAUAAUUAGCUUUUGAUUUUGUAGAACAUGAAUAUAUGGUUAUUUGAUCCAUUAAUAGUGAUUUUAAGUUGAAAUUACCUUAGGGAUAACAGUGUAAUUUUCUUUGAGAGUUCUUAUUGACAAGGAAGGUUGCAACCUCGAUGUUGAAUUAAGAUAAAUAUUAGGUGUAGAAGUUUAGUUAUUGUAUUAGGUCUGUUCGACCUUUAAAAUCUUACAUGAUUUGAGUUCAAACCGGCGUGAGCCAGGUUGGUUUCUAUCUAUAAUUAAUUUAAAUUUUUUAGUACGAGAGGACCAAGAAUUUGUAAUAAUUUUUAUUAUUAGUAUAUUAUUAAUAU
rnacentral:rRNA from 1 species